rfam:Kandleria vitulina DSM 20405 Scaffold2, whole genome shotgun sequence.
ACAUGCAAAGAUAAAAACGCAAUGUACAUGUACUAGAGUCGGUAGGUAGCCAGUCCGUCCCAUCUUUAUAAUGGGGUAAGUAACCCUCCCUCCUUGGGUUGUCCAUUCUUUGUAUUUUCUAA